AUGGAAGAAGAUGAAGUGUCUGUCAAUUACAUCUAUACGUCUGACAAUCAUUUCUAUCCAGGGGAGAUAGAAAGGAGGAUGACCUGUAGAGAAAGACUCAUGAAUGAUGUGAGGCAGGAGUUUUGUGACAGUGAACUUCCACUGUGUUGGGAAACUGAUAGACUGAUUUUUGGAACUGGAACACGACUUUAUGUCCAGCCAAGGGAGAGACCAACCACAGCUCCUCAUGUGUUUGAGCUGAAAGAUAAUAGUGAUGUCCCCACUAUCGCCUGCCUGGCAAAAGAUUUCUACCCUAAGGAUGUUGAAAUUUAUGUUAAUAACAGGAAACAAGAAAAUGUUAGUACAGUUUUGUCUAAAGAAGGAUUGUACAGUGCGGUCAGUGUUCAGACUAUGAAGUCAGAUAACUUUAAAUGUGAAGUCAAGCAAGACCAGAACACGAUUACAGCUGUCAAAGAAUUUAAUCGCACAUCUGAAGAGGAAAAAGAUCUUAUAGUCCCCGAAUGUGAGAAAAUAGAUGGCACUGGAGAUCACAGCACUGAACAAAUAAAUACGCUCUCCUUUACUGUACUGGGGAUGAGGGUAUUGUUUGCCAAAACUGUGGCCUUUAACCUUCUCUUGAGUGCAAAGAUCUUCAUAAUGUAAGACAUCAAUGGGCCAAGUGAAGAUUAUUGUACUUGGACUUUACUCAACUCAAUAUUUUCAUCUAAUGGGGCCACAGAAUCAGCAGCUUCUUCUGGACUCUCCUAAAUAUUAAAAGCAGAUUCUCCCAUAUAUUAUAUCUAGAUAAAUAUGAAAUACAUUUUCAUUGUGCCAGUUAUUUUGCUGAUAUUAUGUAUAUUAUUUGUGCUUUAUCAGAACUAACAGAAAAAUGAACCUUGUUGUCCUUAGUAAACCAAUAAAC